GACGAACGCUGGCGGCGUGCUUAAAACAUGCAAGUCGAACGGUGAAGCUCAGAGCUUGCUCUGAGCGGAUCAGUGGCGAACGGGUGAGUAACACGUGAGUAACCUGCCCUGGACUUCGGG
rnacentral:rRNA from 1 species